rnacentral:rRNA from 1 species
CAAGUUUACAAAGGGCGCAGGGCGGAUGCCUUGGCACCAGGAGCCGAAGAAGGACGUGAUAAGCUGCGAAAAGCUGCGGGGAGGAGCAAAUAUCCAUUGAUCCGCAGGUAUCCGAAUGGGGAAACCCGGCAGAAAGAACUUCUGUCACCGUAUGAUGAAUCCAUAGUCAUACGGAGGGAACCCGGCGAACUGAAACAUCUAAGUAGCCGGAGGAAGAGGAAGAAACAUCGAAUCCCUAAGUAGUGGCGAGCGAAAGGGGACGAAGCCCAAACCAAGGAUUUAUCCUUGGGGUUGAGGACCACAUACGAAGAAGCAGUAGGUAGCAGAACGGUUUUGGGAAAGCCGGCCAUAGAGAGUGAAAGCCUCGUAUGCGAAACAGACUGUGAUUCAGUGGUAUCCGGAGUACUACGGGACACGAGAAACCCCGUAGGAAGCAGGGGGGACCACCCCCCAAGGCGAAAUACUACCUGGUGACCGAUAGAGUAUAGUACCGUGAGGGAAAGGUGAAAAGAACCCCGGGAGGGGAGUGAAAGAGAACCUGAAACCCUGUGUCUACAAGCUGCGGAAGAGUUAUUCUAUGUGCUUACCUACUCUUACGAAAAUUACUUGUCUGUGAACUCAGCUACAUCGUCAACAUACUCGCUGUAGACAACUACAGCUGCGUGUGUUUCCUUGUAUCUGAGCCCACAUUCUGCGUAAUUCAGUAUCGUAGAAGUAGGCAAGCACAUAGAACGCUCGACCGUGUACUUUUUGUAGAACGGUCCGGCGAGUUGCCGUUGCUGGCAGGUUAAGUACUUAAGGUACGGAGCCGAAGGGAAACCGAGUCUUAACAGGGCGGUAAGUCAGUAACGGCAGACCCGAAACCGGGUGACCUACCCAUGGCCAGGAUGAAGUCUGCGUAAAAGUGGAUGGAGGUCCGAACACACGUCUGUUGAAAAAGGCGGUGAUGAGCUGUGGGUAGCGGAGAAAUUCCAAUCGAACUCGGAGAUAGCUGGUUCUCCCCGAAAUAGCUUUAGGGCUAGCCUCGGUAUAGUCUAAUGGAGGUAGAGCACUGAAUCGCUGCGGGGGCGUCAAAGUCUACCAAUGCGUAUCAAACUCCGAAUGCCAUAUAGAUGUUUACCGGGAGUCAGACUGUAUGAGAUAAGUCGGACAGUCAAAAGGGAAACAGCCCAGACCAUCUGCUAAGGUCCCAAAGUGUAUGUUAAGUGGUAAAGGAUGUGGGGUUUCGAAGACAACUAGGAUGUUGGCUCAGAAGCAGCCAUUCAUUCAAAGAGUGCGUAAUAGCUCACUAGUCGAGAGGUCCUGCGCCGAAAAUGUCCGGGGCUGAAACAUAACACCGAAGCAAUGGAACAUGCCUUUUGGUAUGUUGGUAGGGGAGCAUUGAUAACACGAAGAAGCGGUACCGUAAGGAGCCGUGGAGGGUUAUCAAGAGAGAAUGCCGGAAUGAGUAGCGAGAUGAAGGUGGGAAUCCUUCAGGCCGUAUAUCCAAGGUUUCCAGGGUAAAGCUGAUCUUCCCUGGGGAAGUCGGGACCUAAGCUCAGGCUGAGAAGCGUAGGCGAUGGACAACUGGUUGAUAUUCCAGUACCUCUGGCUGUCAGAAAUGUGGGGACACGGAGAUUCAGGGAGUGCCUGUAAAGGAUUCAGGUGCAAGCAUGGUUUAUGCCGGGCAGGCAAAUCCGUCCGGGUAAGUGAACUGUGUGAUGCGGACCGAAAUAUAAGUAGGGAAGCUCCUGGGAGAGCCGUCGAGAAAAGCCGCUAUUGUGUAGUCAGAGCCCGUACCGUAAACCGACACAGGUGGAUGGGGAGAGUAUCCCAAGGCCGGCGGGAGAAGCAUUGUUAAGGAACUCGGCAAAAUGGCCCCGUAAGUUCGCGAUAAGGGGUGCCUGUAGAGAUACAGGCCGCAGAGAAUAGGCUCAAGCAACUGUUUAGCAAAAACACAGGUCUAUGCGAAACCGUAAGGUGAUGUAUAUGGGCUGACGCCUGCCCGGUGCUGGAAGGUUACGGGGAGUGCUUAGGAGCAAUCCGAAGGUACGAACUUAAGCCCCAGUAAACGGCGGCCGUAACUAUAACGGUCCUAAGGUAGCAGAAAUUCCUUGUCGGGUAAGUUCCGACCCGCACGAAAGGCGUAAUGAUUUGAGCGCUGUCUCAACAAUGCACCCGGUGAAAUUGAAGUACCAGUGAAGAUGCUGGUUACCUGCGCCAAGACGGAAAGACCCCAUGGAGCUUUACUCCAUCUUGGUACUGGGAUUAGAUAUAUGAUGUACAGGAUAGGGUGGGAGACAAAGAAGCAGGGACGCCAGUUUCUGCGGAGUCAAUGUUGGGAUACCACCCUUCGUGUAUCUGGUUUCUAACCUUUGCCCGUUAUCCGGGCAGGGGACAAUGCCAGGAGGGGAGUUUGACUGGGGCGGUCGCCUCCGAAAGUGUAUCGGAGGCGCUCAAAGGUUCCCUCAGAAUGGUUGGAAACCAUUCGCAGAGUGUAAAGGCAGAAGGGAGCUUGACUGCGACACCGACGGGUGGAGCAGGUACGAAAGUAGGACUUAGUGAUCCGGUGGUAUGUAAGUGGGAAUGCCAUCGCUCAACGGAUAAAAGCUACCCUGGGGAUAACAGGCUUAUCACUCCCAAGAGUUCACAUCGACGGAGUGGUUUGGCACCUCGAUGUCGGCUCAUCGCAUCCUGGGGCUGUAGUAGGUCCCAAGGGUUGGGCUGUUCGCCCAUUAAAGCGGUACGCGAGCUGGGUUCAGAACGUCGUGAGACAGUUCGGUCCCUAUCUGGCGCAGGCGCAGGAUAUUUGAGGAGAGCCGUCCUUAGUACGAGAGGACCGGGAUGGACGAACCGCUGGUAGACCAGCUGCAGUGCCAGCUGCACGGCUGGGAAGCCAAGUUUGGCAGGGAUAAACGCUGAAGGCAUCUAAGCGUGAAGCCCCCUCCAAGAUAAGAUAUCCCAUAGCGUAGGCUAAUAAGACCCCUUAGAGAGUAUGAGGUUGAUAGGUCAGUGGUGUAAGCGGAGUAAUCCGUGUGCCUUCUGAUACUAAUAGGUCGAAGGCUUGACC